rnacentral:lncRNA from 1 species
CAGUAUCUCUACCUGGCUUAAAGGUAAUUUACAAACUCUUUCAUGGAACAUUAUAAUUUUUUACAAUUUUCCAUCCCACUACUGCCCUAGGCAUGAUUGUUCAAUUCCUCUGACACCUUUACUGAAAAAUAAUUUACAUACCAUAAAAUAACCCAUUUAAAGUGUACCAUUCAGUGGUUUUUAUUGUAUUUCAGAGUUGUGCAACCAAUACCACAAUCUAAUUUUGGAAUAUUUUCAUCAUUCUUAAAAAUACUAUUAGUAGUCUCUACUCACCACCCCCCACCCCCAGCCUCUGUCAGCUACUAAUCUACUUACUGUCUCUAUAGGUCUACCUCUUCUGGACAGUUCAUGUAAGUGAAGUUGUAUAAUUUAUGGGUCUUUUGUGACUUAUAUCUUUCACAUAGCAAAAUGUUUUCAAGGUUCACCCAUGUUGUAGCAUUUAUCAGGACUUCAUUACUUUUUCUUACUGAAUAAUAUUCCAUUUUCUGUGACUGGAGUUGAACUGGUAAAGAGCUGAGGUUCUAGGUGUCUGUCUGGGUAGUCAAUUUUAAGAAAAGGGCCAAAAUGAAAGUAACAGUCAAGUCUUUAAUCAUUUACUGCAUUAGGAUAAGUAAGAGAUUAACUCUGAGAAAGUGUAGGCUCCCUGAGGUUGAGGUGGUCUCACUGCUGAGGAAGCCUUCAACAAAAGGUUUUUGCAGUGUAUGGAUCCAGGGGAAAGGUGAAAUGGUUAUGAGUGGACAAGUCCAGAGGCAGCCUAGGGAAAAGUAUCUUCAAUAUUUCCUAGCCUCUUCAAAGGGCCUGAGGAAAGGCCUCGGCUAAAGGCCAUGAAGAGCUUUCUGGAUGAAGUCACUUGGGCUAGGAAUGCUGAAAUGCUAAAAUUAAGAGCAUGGCGAGCUGGGGCCUGAGUCUUUAUAUGUUGCUACACACUGGCUGUGUCAAGUCUGGUGGGGAGAAUCCCGCUAUCCCUGUGAAGCCUUUAAAUUGUAAUUAUUUAUGGUUGGGCUGAAAAAACCAUGCAUAAGUAUUUUUAUGGCCAGGAGCCGGACUUAAUACAUACAGGCCAUAUUUCAUUCAUUAGUU